CCGCAUUGGGCUUUGGAUCGUACGUCAACGUCGCCGCCAUAUUGGGCCAGGCAAGACUGGCCUGAAAACAAAUACAGCAUUCAACAGUGUGGAGGAGAGCGACCUCGGCGUUCCUGGCCCAGGCCGGGGCGGGUUUUUCCUGCCCACAGGAAUCUCGAUAGUUUGGCUAUAAUCGCUGCUUGACGCUCAAGAGAGAGAUCCAAACAGUGUCGUCUGUGUGACGUCGGUCAGUUGGCACCUGGGCCACGCCUCCAUAACAAUUUGAGGUCACCAGUACACAUGAAAGUAAAAAGGGAAUGAUGUCUUCUGAGACGCUGGCCUCCUGUCCAUCCCCACCACUCGACUCUACAAUGGGUGCUCAAGCAUUCAGCCCUGCAGCACCCAGGCUCUGGAACUAUCUACCCACACACAUCCACCACACAGAGACACUAACAUCCUUGAAAGAACUACUCAAAACCCAUCUGGCAUACCACUGAUCGUUUAUUUCAUUACCAUUCAGUGCCAUGUUUGUUUGUUUGUCUGAUUUUUUAAAUAAUUAUUAUGUAUUCUUUGUAAUUUUAUUUCAAAUUUGUGAAAUGGUAUUGUUUUUAUCAUUGUUACAUGCCGCGACACAGUCCUGGGGUGGACAAAAGAGUUGGACACAGGGAGUUGGAUUUAAUCCAGUUUCCACUAUUUUUUGAGGAGUCAGCGAGAGAGCUCGCAAACUAAAAUUGAACAAAAAAAACAGUCUGCCCUUCACCCUCAUGGGAUCCAGGAAAAAAUUAUAAACUAAAAUAACAAAGACAAACCCACAAAAAUUACAAAUGCACUUUUUCAGCUGCAGUUCCAGAGUUUAUAGGCAUGGUCCUUCAAUUGCCCUGAUCCUGGUCCACAAAGCAAGUCCAUUGACACUCCUCUACCACCAGAAUAUAGCCAGUUGUUCAUUUGGCUUGGCUGAUACCUCCCCUUCGCAGGAGUGAAAGUCAGCACAAGCAGACCCCAGCUUAUGGAUUACCUGGAACUGAAAUGGCUAUAGGGCUAGAUACCAGUGGGUAAUCCUAGAAUUGGUCUCUUUUGUUCUACGACCUCUCUUGCUUUUUAGACUUCUGUCGGGUACAAGCAGCUAUAGCAGAAUUUUUAUCCACUGACAGACUGACUAGUUCCUGCCCCAAGAGAAACCCCUAGCAUUUUGCUCAAUUCCUCCUGAACUAGUUUUAUCUUCAGGUACUUGAUACUUUGCUGAAUCUGUCUCUGUUAAUACACAACUUCAUGGACAUUUCAGGCCAGGAAUUUGAGCACAUUUCAUUGUCUUUAAAAUCUCUGCGUGAUUGAUCAUAAAGAUGACAAUAUCCUUGCAUGAGUUCAGCAACUCUUUCAGAAGUAUUCCUCUCAAAAAUAUUCCAGUUACGAUGAUGCUACCAUGGUGAUGUCUGUAUGGGAUACAGAGGAACUGGUGUCCUACUUGAUUGGUAUGCCAAGAUAGAAAAAUUAAAAUUUUGACCUCAUUUGGCAAACCAAGGAUAAAUCAUUUGGAAGAUGAGAAAACUACUGAGGAAAGAUGGGGAAACUAGGCAUGAUUAAAUAUUUCUAUCAUGACGAACCUGUUGGUUAGGACACCACUGUUUUAUACCGAAAAUGCUGAUAAUGACAGAUGGCAAUUUACUAUCACAUUAUUGUUAUUACGAUUUUUGUUAGUUAAAUUUAAUGUUAUUAUAAUCCAAUAUACACACAGCAUUUCAGUAUAAAGGUUCUUUUGGAUUGUGGUGAUGAGGCUUGAGAGCAAUUAGACACCAAGAGUAACUUUUAAUUGCUCACAUGUUAUUAAGCUGCGGGAGGACAUUCCAGUAGUUACUGAGAACUAAGCAUACUAUUUUUUUAAGGCUAAGGCCUUAUUUGUUUACCAUUUCCAAGUGCGUAAAACUUUUCUCUUAAUAUGCGUCAAUGUCUCCUCCUCUUCCCUUAUCUAUUCUAGUCAAACCUUGUUUACUCCACUUCAUGCACAUAAAUUAGCAUCAUAUAUAUCACACUUUUAACACCCAAGAUUGGUCAGACGUUUAUAACAGCAACUCUCCUAACGCAUGUCAAAAAUACACACGUCAUGUUUUGAACAAAAAGUUUUCUUCCGUUUUUGCGCCUUAAGCCAUCUUAGUAGUAAGAGUGUGAGCCUCCAUAUGCCAUAUCAAUUAUUAUUAUUAUUUAUUAUUAUAUACUGUCUGUGAUUAUAUUAUAUUGCGGUGUUUGUCUCAAAGUUUUUCUCUAAAUGUACAGUAAUAUGCAGCCACUUGGUGGUGCAAAAGUGCACCUGCAUACCAAAGAGAGAGCAAAGUAAAAUAUGUAAAGCUAGUUAGGAUCCCUUCUGUAAACAGCAUGCAGGAAUUACUAUUUUCUACAAAGAUGUACAAAAGUCAUUUUCACACGAUUGUUUUUCCAUCUGUAAACACUUGACUGAAAGUAAUGUUGCUAUAUCAUUUUCAGGCUGAGAAUUCAGACUGGUAUGCAUUAUGUUGCUCUUGUUAAUAUUAUAUGCGUGCAGGUCCAGAGAUAUUGGUACCCUUGACAAAGAUGGCUUCAAAAGCCUGUAUAAAAUGAACAACACAGGUAAUGAGAUAUAUUGUAUGAUCAAUAAAUGGGGGAUUGUAUGUUUUUAUUAAAACAGAAUUGUUCAGAAUUCUUUUUUUGUUUUAAACAAUAAUUUUCUUUUCAAAAAAGAUAGUUGUCAAAAUCAUUG